rnacentral:rRNA from 1 species
GCGGAGAAAUUCCAAUCGAACCUGGAGAUAGCUGGUUCUCUCCGAAAUAGCUUUAGGGCUAGCCUCAAGUGAUGAUUAUUGGAGGUAGAGCACUGUUUGGACGAGGGGCCCCUCUCGGGUUACCGAAUUCAGACAAACUCCGAAUGCCAAUUAAUUUAACUUGGGAGUCAGAACAUGGGUGAUAAGGUCCGUGUUCGAAAGGGAAACAGCCCAGACCACCAGCUAAGGUCCCAAAAUAUAUGUUAAGUGGAAAAGGAUGUGGCGUUGCCCAGACAACUAGGAUGUUGGCUUAGAAGCAGCCAUCAUUUAAAGAGUGCGUAAUAGCUCACUAGUCGAGUGACACUGCGCCGAAAAUGUACCGGGGCUAAACAUAUUACCGAAGCUGUGGAUUGUCCUUUGGACAAUGGUAGGAGAGCGUUCUAAGGGCGUUGAAGCAUGAUCGUAAGGACAUGUGGAGCGCUUAGAAGUGAGAAUGCCGGUGUGAGUAGCGAAAGACGGGUGAGAAUCCCGUCCACCGAUUGACUAAGGUUUCCAGAGGAAGGCUCGUCCGCUCUGGGUUAGUCGGGUCCUAAGCUGAGGCCGACAGGCGUAGGCGAUGGAUAACAGGUUGAUAUUCCUGUACCACCUAUAAUCGUUUUAAUCGAUGGGGGGACGCAGUAGGAUAGGCGAAGCGUGCGAUUGGAUUGCACGUCUAAGCAGUAAGGCUGAGUAUUAGGCAAAUCCGGUACUCGUUAAGGCUGAGC